GAUGAACGCUGGCGGCGUGCCUAAUACAUGCAAGUCGAGCGAACGGACGAGAAGCUUGCUUCUCUGAUGUUAGCGGCGGACGGGUGAGUAACACGUGGAUAACCUACCUAUAAGACUGGGAUAACUUCGGGAAACCGGAGCUAAUACCGGAUAAUAUUUUGAACCGCAUGGUUCAAAAGUGAAAGACGGUCUUGCUGUCACUUAUAGAUGGAUCCGCGCUGCAUUAGCUAGUUGGUAAGGUAACGGCUUACCAAGGCAACGAUGCAUAGCCGACCUGAGAGGAGGGAGAGGGACACAAGAACAGCGACACCGCCAAAACGGCGACGGGGGGGAGCAGGGGGGAGUAUUGGACAGGAGGGGAAGAGAGGAUGCAGGCAUGCCGCGGGGGGGAAGAAGGUGUUCGGAUGAUAAAAAACUUUAAUAGGGGAGAAAAAAAAUAAAUAAAAUGAAUGGCCGUCCUGUCGGGACCAAAAAAACAGAAAGCCACGAAACCCCCG
rnacentral:rRNA from 1 species